rnacentral:lncRNA from 1 species
GCUGCCUCGUGCCAGUGAGAUGAGAAAACUGAGGCUCAGACGGUUGGUGAUGCGCCGCUCGAGGGCCCAGAGAGGUGAAGCCAUCAGAGUCACCGCAGCGAGCCGUGCUCAGCCCGGAUGGAAUCGUGUCUUCAGACACCAACUUGCUCCUCCUGGGCCGUGGGCUCUGGGAUCCACACGGCUGCCUGGGACCCGGAGAGAUUGGCCUUGGCGGCUUUAGGAAAAUCAUGAUUUGCUGGACAGUGGCACUGCUUUAGAGUCCCGACCUCAGAUAAAGGCUGAUCAUGUCCACACAAGAGAUGCAACAAGGUGGCCCGCUGACCUUUGUUCAAGGACAUGGCCACUUGAGCGCACACGGGUUGGUGGAGAAUGCCACGCUUUGCCAAAGAAUGUUCCGUCUUCCUUUCUCUUAUCUUAUCGCGUGUGCAUUUGGGAAGGAGGUUGUGUCCAGCCAGGGCUGCAACUGGCCUGGACUGUGUCACCCUGACCCAGACCUUGUCCUGGCACGUGUUCGCACCUGGCCCCCAGAUUGCCUCUGGGGCCUAGGAGGAGAAGGUGGGGGCUGGGGUGGCUCCAGAGGAAGGUUGCAUGCGGGCUCUGGGGUUGGGGCAGUGUGGGGUUUGGUUGCUGGGCUGGCCCAGGUUCUAAGUGAGAACAGGACUUUUCAUCCCCCACGGGCACCUGAAUUUGUCCCUCCCUCCAGCCUUGGUGGCGGCAGGUGGCACGAGGCAGAUGCGGGCCUGUGACAUGCAGCUCUGCUCUCCGCCCACCUCCUGUGAACCACGCAGGUGCCUUUGUCCUGGUUAGAAAACGGUGGCGCUGGUUAGAAAACGGUGGCAGAGCUGCUGGUAAGUCUCUGGGACAUGACAGCCCCUUGCUGGGAGAAGAGUCAGCUCCUCAUAUUCUGAUAAACGGCAGGUGUUAGUAACCAUACUUCUAAACGUGUGGAAAGAAUUCCGGCGGCUCACACUGAGUGCUCGGUGUAAGCCAGUGACCAUGAUUUGUCCUUCCUGGCCUGGGUUCAUCUCAGUGACUUGUGAUGAGUUUCAUCAUCGGUCCCAUUUUACAGGAGCAAAAACCGAGUCUUAACCAUGGUAAGUGACUUGCUCUGAGUGGCACAGUGACUAAGGGACAGCCCUGGAGUCUGAGGCUCAACCUCUGUGCUAUCACCUGCCAAAUCCUGAUCCCUCUGCCCACUCCAGGCCUGGGGUUUAGGCUCUAUAGACAUUGCUCCAGUUUAUCUCAUAGUGACCUUUGGGGCUUAUAUGAUGAUGGCUUAUAGGUGGGGACACUGGGGCUCAGAGAGGCUCAGUGACUUGGCCACGGUCACACAGCUAGUAGGUGGUGGACCAGGCAUGGGAACCCCAGGUGUCUGACUGAGGUUCCUUGCUUUUUACCUCUUGGCUGCAGCUCCAUGCUGGUGGGGCCUCUGGGGAAGGAAUAUUCUUGCAAUGAAGGGAGCACUUCAGCUGAGGUCACAGGACAGGGGUGCUGCACAAGCCAUGAACCCACCAGCCACC